GGAUCUGAGGGUAAUCUUGCUGAGAGAUCUGUCACCCCACUGACCACCAGGGUUAACUCAGCUGAUGUGGUUGGCUAAGUAGCUGCCCCCUUCCUCCUUCACUCUUCCAUGUGCAUCCCUCCAGAAGAUGCUUGUUCAGUGGACUAGGACCAUCCUCCCAAAAUAGAGGAGGAGCUGUCUUACAUCAAGGAUAAGUGAAUAGCUGUGCCUCCCUGCUGGAAUCUCUAAGCAAUCUCUCAAGAACAGAGCUGCCCCAACAUACCCCAAAAGAGGCCCAACUGAAACUAAGGACAACUGGCAAAAUAAGCAAGGGUGAUGUUUUC
rnacentral:snRNA from 1 species